GACGAACGCUGGCGGCGUGCCUAAUACAUGCAAGUAGAACGCUGAAGGAGGAGCUUGCUUCUCUGGAUGAGUUGCGAACGGGUGAGUAACGCGUAGGUAACCUGCCUGGUAGCGGGGGAUAACUAUUGGAAACGAUAGCUAAUACCGCAUAAGAGUAGAUGUUGCAUGACAUUUGCUUAAAAGGUGCAAUUGCAUCACUACCAGAUGGACCUGCGUUGUAUUAGCUAGUUGGUGGGGUAACGGCUCACCAAGGCGACGAUACAUAGCCGACCUGAGAGGGGGAGCGGCCAAACUGGGACUGAGACACGGCCCAGACGCCUACGGGAGGCAGCAGUAGGGAAUCUUCGGCAAUGGAUGGAAGUCUUACCGAGCAACGCCGCGUGAGUGAAGAAGGUUUUCGGAUCGUAAAGCUCUGUUGUAAGAGAAGAACGAGUGUGAGAGUGGAAAGUUCACACUGUGACGGUAUCUUACCAGAAAGGGACGGCUAACUACGUG
rnacentral:rRNA from 1 species